CGGGUGAGUAACACGUGGGUAACCUGCCCCGAUGAUUGGGACAACCCGAGGAAACUCGGGCUAAUACCAAAUGUGCUUUCAGGUCUCAAGACUUGAACGGAAAGGUAGCUUCGGCUUCCGCAUCGGGAUGGGCCCGCGGCCCAUUAGCUUGUUGGUGAGGUAACGGCUUACCAAGGCUACGAUGGGUAGCUGGUCUGAGAGGACGAUCAGCCACACUGGGACUGAGACACGGCCCAG
rnacentral:rRNA from 1 species